AUUGAACGCUGGCGGCAGGCCUAACACAUGCCAGUCGAACGGUAACAGGGAUCAGCUUGCUGAUUCGCUGACGAGUGGCGGACGGGUGAGUAAUGUCUGGGAAACUGCCUGAUGGAGGGGGAUAACUACUGGAAACGGUAGCUAAUACCGCGUAACGUCGCAAGACCAAAGAGGGGGACCUUCGGGCCUCUUGCCAUCGGAUGUGCCCAGAUGGGAUUAGCUAGUAGGGGGGGUAACGGCUCACCUAGGCGACGAUCCCUAGCUGGUCUGAGAGGAUGACCAGCCACACUGGAACUGAGACACGGUCCAGACUCCUACGGGAGGCAGCAGUGGGGAAUAUUGCACAAUGGGCGCAAGCCUGAUGCAGCCAUGCCGCGUGUAUGAAGAAGGCCUUCGGGUUGUAAAGUACUUUCAGCGGGGAGGAAGGGAGUAAAGUUAAUACCUUUGCUCAUUGACGUUACCCGCAGAAGAAGCACCGGCUAACUCCGUG
rnacentral:rRNA from 1 species